GGUAGCGUGGCCGAGCGGUCUAAGCCGCUGGAUUUAGGCUCCCAUCUCUUCGGAGGCGUGGGUUCGACUCCCACUGCUGCCA